GUGACCCUCCGGCGCGGGCAGUCGGCCUGGGGCCCCAAGGCUGAGUGCAGGAGCCUGGAAGGCCAGCAGGGUUUGCUGAGGUUAGCCAGGCUUGGGAGAGCGUUUGCUCUCUCAACUCUAGGAGUGAAGUCCCUGACACAAACCUGGCUUUGCAUUUCUGCCAGCGGGAAUCUCGCUCGCUCGCUCGCUACCGUGGAUAAACCCUGGGGUUCAAAGCAGCUGUAAAGAAUCAAGAAGGCGCUAAUUUUGAGGGAUCAGCCCGUUACCUCCCUUCGCACCGCUCGGGAAGUUGGCUGAGCACCGACUCGCAGAAGAACAUUGUGGCCGGGAGGCAUCUGUAUUACAAUUUCUUUCUUGGCUUCAUAAAAGAGAGAGAGGUGGGGAGAGAGAGAGAGAGAAAGAGAGACACACAUUGACUGGUUCCCUUCUCAUAUGUGCCCUGACCCGGGAUGGAACCCGAAACCUGGGUAUGUGCCCUGACGGGGAAUCAAACCCGCAACCUUUCAGUCUGUGGAGGACGCUCUAGCGGAGCCACACCCAUCACGGCACAAGCAUCCCCAAGACUUCGCCCAGAGGCUGGUGUUCCCGAACAACUGGUUUUCAGCUAAAUUUCAUCAUGACGCAUCACCCUCAGGGAACGUACUGAUAAGAACACACUACCCUGGAGUGAGACACAGCUCUGCUUGGAAAUCUGGCUGCCGUCCUGUAAGAGGUGGCUCAGUCUGCUCAGCGCUUGAAGGAGCCGCGCAUGCUAAGUAAACACCCCACAGGCGGCUCGGCUGCGGAUGGAUAGGCGGAUGAACAAACAGCGGAAUGACGUUCUUUAAGUAGGGCCCCCGCCCCCCCCGCCGUCUGCUGUGUUUACAGGCCCCCAAAUGAAAUCACCUGGCUGUUUACAGGGGCCUUCGUGCUGAUGAAAAGACUCAGUUAUGCGCCCAACUCUUCUCUGCCAAAGGAGAAAAGUUCCAGGUUCUUUCAAAGUAUGUGAAGCAUCUGAUGUGAAAAGUGGCAACAGCAUUUGGGACCAAUUACCCAGAUUAAGAGGCAACAAUGCUCUGUUUACAAUGUGUAGCCAAGAGCGGCUUGGCUCGGGUCCACGUGCUGGGGAUUGUAAAUUACAGAAAUUUCAGCCCAACACCGAUUCCUCUUUUGACCUGCGUGGCUGAGAAAAACAGGUAGAGACGCCCUUGUUGUUACUUGCCCCGAGACUUCAGUGAAUGGGGAACUGAAUAUUAUCUUCCCAGUAAGUCAGCGACACACAGGUCCCCUGCCAGGAAGGCCUGGAUUGCUCACUCAGGGAAGACUCUAAUUGUAUGUGACGUGUCAGGAUGUGGUUUUUCUGUUUGCCGCUCCUCGGAGAUGACUUCUGCGAAAACAGUUCGAAAAUGAAGCCCUCUGACCUCUUUUGCUUCAUUGCCGUAGCACCCCAAGACAACUCCAUUGUCCAAUAGAUUGUGGGGGAAUCGGCACCAAAGGAUAGAGAGGGAGGUUAGCGCCAGAGAACUGGGCUGCUGCGAAUAGAUUAGACAUAGACUGUGGCAAAUGCAGCCAUUGUGGGCACCCCCCCCCCCAAUAAUUUGGCCCACACAUGGGGGCUGAAAGCAGUUUGGGUCAUUGGGGCCUGGAAUUUAGAGUUCUUCCUUUGCCCGAGGCAGACCGGCCCCCACUCUGUGCAAUGCUGAUCAUUCCAGAAGUUCGGGGGAAAUAUUCAUCUUAAGUCUUUGCACAUAAUCCUGAUGUUAAGGCCUUGACCUUGGCGGGGGGGAAAGCAACCACAGCGGUCCGACAGCAAGGGGGAGAGUAUCUAUUCCUGAAGGGCAGGCCUGCCGAACGCAGCCGCGCGGGGAAGACAAGUCACCGCCUCACCGACGGCCAUCGCGCGUGCGUGCUCAGGGUUUCCUCACGUGAUUGCUCUCAGUUCCAUGCUUAGAUCAUCGAGUUGGAUAUAUCUACAGGCAGGGGGACCAAGGUCUUCUUAUGACUGCUUCUUAUUGCUGGGUGGGGUGGUCAUGAAGAGGAAAAUGCAAUUGAAGUUCUGAUCGUGGAGUAUAUAGCAUCUUGGACUUGGAAAGUAUUUUUAUCCAAGAAUCCGGUGUCCUUUUUUUUUUUUUUAAAAAAAAAUCAUUUGAGAGAGAGAGAAACAUCAAUUUGUUGUUCCACUUAUUUAUACAUUUGUUGAUGGUUUCUUGUAUGCGCCCUGACUGGGAAUCGAACCCCCAACCUUGGCGUAUCAGGAUGACACUCUAAGCACCUGAUCCACCUGGCCAGGGCUUCCAGUGUCCACUUCAUGGAGGGCUGUCCUCCAGUAAGUGACAGCUUUCCAAUCCCUUCCUGUGUCAAUAUAUUUUCCCAAUAAAAACGGAU